AAGAGAUUGAGGACUCAACAUCAAAUCCUCCAAAACGAAUCAGAGUUCCAAGGAUCCAAGAAGAUGUAGUUGAUGUUGAUCAUUGUGAAGGGGAAUCCACAGAAAUGGAUGCUCUAAAAAAGAAAUCGGUAUGUUUUUCUUAUUUUUAAGGAAAAUGUUCUGAAAAAUUCAUCUUCUGCUUCUGCUUCUUCCUCUUCUUCUUCUUCCUGGUGCAUGCUGGGAGAUUUUCGGAGGGUGAAAGAAAGAGAAGACUGGUUGUGGACUUGAAGGGAACGACUUCCUGGCCUUCCUGACAUCCAGGAAAAAGAGGCAGUAGAGAUCUACUGGAAACAGUGGAGAGGGAGAAGAUGAUAUGCAGCAAAAGGCCCAGCCGGAUGGUUGCUGCUCCGUGUGGAACGUGUUCUACAGUAUCAGAAAGGAUCAUGCCAGCCCACAUCAAACACCUGAUCAAGAACUUGUGAAUCUUCAGGCAGAAAAGAUGAAAACACCUGUUCAAAGUUCCAGUUUCCUGUACAUCAAACGAUGCCUGUCUGGGACUCUGUUCCACAUGUCUUCAGUCAGUCCUGGACCCUAUGACUAGGACACUAGUUCUACCAAGGCUUAAUAGAGAUAAUACAGCUGCACAAUUACAACAGGAACUAAUCUUUAGACGGUUAAUACAGAAGAUCUGCUAAAUUGGAGGAUUCCAAAGCUGAGCUGGAAGGGGAAGUCGCCACCUACAGGACAGCAAAUCUAAAAAUUAAUUUGGAUAAACUAUUAAACCAGGUAUUUUCACAAAAAGAACAAUCUGAGACACAGUGUGAGCCUGCACCCUGGACACCCACACACCCCAAUAAUCCCCCUUCAAAGAGCGAGCCACAUGGGAAGGCUACUGUACACAUUUUAUGUUUCAGAUUGUUGUCAUUCACUUGCAAGGGGAGAUUCCAGUGCGUCCAGAGGUCUGGGCAAAAAUAAAAAACAACACAAGGGACUCCAUGUUCGUGAAGGAGUUGGCUGUGGCGUUUUGGGGCACCGACACCUUAGGGGAAAGGAGCCUGACUGGAAAGGAAUGCCCCACCACCAAGACCACCAGGCAGCCUCUAACCCCGCAGAAGCUAUGGGGUUUGAAAGUUUGCUUCAAGCAUGGCUGUACGAGAAAGACGUGGAGGACCAAGAAAUGCUGGCCAGAUUGGCAAAGACCGGAAGAUACAUAACAGAGAAGAUAAUGGAUAUUAACAAGAAAAAGAAAAAAAUACUUUAAACAUUUUUUUUUAUAAUUUCUUUGUUGCU